GCAAAAAGUCGUACUCCGAUAAGAAGAAGAAAAAGGGAACACGAACCACUCAGUCCGACUUAACGUGAUCUACAACUUCGAAUGGUCAAGGGUUAAAAUAAGGUUGAGAGACACUGGUGUAUGCUACAUAAAAACAAUUGCAAAUGCUUGAGAAAGAAAU